AUAAAUGAGCACUAAUGAUGCAUAAAAUUUAACCCUGAACUUAUGUAAUGAUUCUUGGUUAUUCGUCACUACCUCUGAAGUUCUCAUUUAU